UGCACUUUUUGGUAAGAAGAUCUUAACAAAAGUUGUUCGUCAUGAUGAGGGCUACAACUUUGCUUAAUAUCCUUUUAACAAAUUAUGCGUAUUUAAGGAGAUAGGGCUGCGCAUGCGCAGAACGUAUCUCCUUACCUUUGCACUUUUUGAUAAGGAGAUGUUAACGAAAGUUGUUCGUCUUGAUGAGGGCUACAACUUUGCUUAAUAUCCUUUUAACAAAUUAUGCG
rnacentral:miRNA from 1 species